rnacentral:rRNA from 1 species
UACGUAGGGUGCAGGCGUUAAUCGGAAUCACUGGGCGUAAAGCGUGCGCAGGCGGUUUGCUAAGACAGGUGUGAAAUCCCCGGGCUUAACCUGGGAACUGCGCUUGUAACUGGCAAGCUUGAGUGUGGCAGAGGGGGGUGGAAUUCCACGUGUAGCAGUGAAAUGCGUAGAGAUGUGGAGGAACACCGAUGGCGAAGGCAGCCCCCUGGGCUAACACUGACGCUCAUGCACGAAAGCGUGGGGAGCAAACAGG